rnacentral:snoRNA from 1 species
AACCCAUGAUUUGGGCAUUUUCUCAAUAAAGACUUAUAUCUCUCCCAAGCUUCACACAAAGGCUAAUUAGUGCCUUGAGAGAAAGUUGCAAUUGCUGAUUUGGUGCU